rnacentral:rRNA from 1 species
AGUGAACGCUGGCGGUAGGCCUAACACAUGCAAGUCGAACGGCAGCACAGGAGAGCUUGCUCUCUGGGUGGCGAGUGGCGGACGGGUGAGGAAUACAUCGGAAUCUACUUUUUCGUGGGGGAUAACGUAGGGAAACUUACGCUAAUACCGCAUACGACCUACGGGUGAAAGCAGGGGACCUUCGGGCCUUGUGCGAUUGAAUGAGCCGAUGUCGGAUUAGCUAGUUGGCGGGGUAAAGGCCCACCAAGGCGACGAUCCGUAGCUGGUCUGAGAGGAUGAUCAGCCAAACUGGAGCUGAGACAGGGUCCAGGCUCCUACGGGAGGCAGCAGUGGGGAAUAUUGGACAAUGGGCGCAAGCCUGAUCCAGCCAUACCGCGUGGGUGAAGAAGGCCUUCGGGUUGUAAAGCCCUUUUGUUGGGAAAGAAAUCCAGCUGGCUAAUACCCGGUUGGGAUGACGGUACCCAAAGAAUAAGCACCGGCUAACUUCGUGCCAGCAGCCGCGGUAA